rnacentral:rRNA from 1 species
GGCGGUAUUUUAGUCUAUUCAGAGGAAUCUGUCCUAUAAUUGAUAAUCCACGAUUUAAUUUACUUUUAGAAAAAAUUUAUAUAUCGUCGUAGUUUGAAUAUUUUAAAAGAAUUUUAAUGUUCAAAAUUUUUUUAUAAAAUUAAAUCAGAUCAAGGUGUAGUUUAUAUAAAAGAAGAGAUGGAUUACAUUAAAUUUAUUUAAAGAUUAAUUUUUGUAAAAUUUUAUGAAUAUGGAUUUGAUAGUAAUUUUUUUAAAAUUUUAAAAAUGAUUUAAGCUCUAAAAUAUGUA